UGGGGAAUAUUGCACAAUGGGCGCAAGCCUGAUGCAGCCAUGCCGCGUGUAUGAAGAAGGCCUUCGGGUUGUAAAGUACUUUCAGCGGGGAGGAAGGGAGUAAAGUUAAUACCUUUGCUCAUUGACGUUACCCGCAGAAGAAGCACCGGCUAACUCCGUGCCAGCAGCCGCGGUAAUACGGAGGGUGCAAGCGUUAAUCGGAAUUACUGGGCGUAAAGCGCACGCAGGCGGUUUGAUAAGUCAGAUGUGAAAUCCCCGGGCUCAACCUGGGAACUGCAUCUGAUACUGGCAAGCUUGAGUCUCGUAGAGGGGGGUAGAAUUCCAGGUGUAGCGGUGAAAUGCGUAGAGAUCUGGAGGAAUACCGGUGGCGAAGGCGGCCCCCUGGACGAAGACUGACGCUCAGGUGCGAAAGCGUGGGGAGCAAACAGG
rnacentral:rRNA from 1 species